rnacentral:lncRNA from 1 species
UCCCUCUCUUUUCCUCUUUUGCGACUCCGAUACCAAUUCAUCUAUUCAUCAAAUUACCCCCCUUCUCUUUCACUCUCUCUCGCCCCAUGGAAACCCUACCCUCGAGCUACAAGGAGAACGACGAGGACGAGGAGCCAAUGUGGAGCGACGCCCUCGACCCCAUCCCAUCUCCUCCUUCUCCUCCUCCCUCCGCCGCCGCCGCCGCCGCCGCCGCCGAUGCCCCUCCUCUCCCCGCUCCUCCCUCCGCCUCCGCCUCGGCCUCGAAGAAGCCGAAGAAGAAGAGCAACAACGUGUGGACCAAGUCCACCUCCCGNCCCGAACCCCAAUCCAACGGCCACGCCUACCCAGCCGGCGCCGACGAUCCUCCCCCGCCGUCCGAUGACGACGCCGACGACCCCGACGACGACGACGACGACGACGACUCCGCCCCGGCGAGGAAGAAGCAGAAGCCCCUCUCCGCCUUCGCCUCCGCCGCCGCCGCCGCAGCCCCUCCUCUCCCCGCUCCUCCCUCCGCCUCCGCCUCGGCCUCGAAGAAGCCGAAGAAGAAGAGCAACAACGUGUGGACCAAGUCCACCUCCCGCAAGGGCAAGAAGAAGUCCAAGCCCUCCCCCCACGCCCCCGCCCCGGAGGACACCGUCCUCAUGACCCCGAUGCCCCGCGGCUUCCCUGACCGCUCCG